GUGCUCACUUCAGCAGCACAUAUUCUAAAACUGUAACAAUACAGAGAAGAUUAGCAUGGCCCUGCACAAGGAUGGCAUGCAGAUUCAUGAAGCAUUCCAUAUUUUU
ensembl:snRNA U6 U6 spliceosomal RNA